AUGAUAGAGAGAGUAAGAGAGAGAGAAGGAUGGAAAGAAUAUAUGGAAGCGUUUCACUAUUCGUUUUUCUAAUUGUCUUUAUUUCUCUCUCUCUCUUUCUCUCUCUUU
rnacentral:ribozyme from 1 species